rnacentral:rRNA from 1 species
UACGAAGGGGGCUAGCGUUGCUCGGAAUCACUGGGCGUAAAGGGUGCGUAGGCGGGUCUUUAAGUCAGGGGUGAAAUCCUGGAGCUCAACUCCAGAACUGCCUUUGAUACUGAAGAUCUUGAGUUCGGGAGAGGUGAGUGGAACUGCGAGUGUAGAGGUGAAAUUCGUAGAUAUUCGCAAGAACACCAGUGGCGAAGGCGGCUCACUGGCCCGGUACUGACGCUGAGGUGCGGAAAGCGUGGGGAGCAAACAGGGAU